rnacentral:rRNA from 1 species
UACAGAGGUCUCGAGCGUUAAUCGGAAUUACUGGGCUUAAAGGGUGCGUAGGCGGCGCUGUAAGUGCCUUGUGAAAUCCCAUGGCUUAACCAUGGAAUUGCUCGGCAGACUGCAGUGCUUGAGGUUGGUAGGGGUCGCUGGAACUCUAGGUGGAGCGGUGAAAUGCGUAGAUAUCUAGAGGAGCGCCAAAGGUGUAGACAGGCGACUGGGCCAAUUCUGACGCUGAGGCACGAAAGCGUGGGUAGCGAACGGG